UAGGGAAUCUUCGGCAAUGGGGGGAACCCUGACCGAGCAACGCCNCGUGAGUGAAGAAGGUUUUCGGAUCGUAAAGCUCUGUUGUUAAGGAAGAACGAGUGUGAGAAUGGAAAGUUCAUACUGUGACGGUACUUAACCAGAAAGGGACGGCUAACUACGUGCCAGCAGCCGCGGUAAUACGUAGGUCCCGAGCGUUGUCCGGAUUUAUUGGGCGUAAAGCGAGCGCAGGCGGUUAGAAAAGCCUGAAGUGAAAGGCAGUGGCUCAACCAUUGUAGGCUUUGGAAACUGUUUAACUUGAGUGCAGAAGGGGAGAGUGGAAUUCCAUGUGUAGCGGUGAAAUGCGUAGAUAUAUGGAGGAACACCGGUGGCGAAAGCGGCUCUCUGGUCUGUAACUGACGCUGAGGCUCGAAAGCGUGGGGAGCGAACAGGAUUAGAUACCCUGGUAGUCCACGCCGUAAACGAUGAGUGCUAGGUGUUAGGUCCUUUCCGGGACUUAGUGCCGCAGCUAACGCAUUAAGCACUCCGCCUGGGGAGUACGACCGCAAGUUG
rnacentral:rRNA from 1 species